GGGGAAAGCAGGGGACCUUCGGGCCCUGCGCUAUCAGAUGAGCCUGGUCGGAUUAGCUAGUUGGUGAGGUAAUGGCUCACCAAGGCGACGAUCCGUAACUGGUGUGAGAGGAUGAUCAGUCACACUGGAAGUGAGACACGGUCCAGACUCCUACGGGAGGCAGCAGUGGGGAAUAUUGGACAAUGGGCGAAAGCCUGAUCCAGCCAUGCCGCGUGUGUGAAGAAGGUCUUCGGAUUGUAAAGCACUUUAAGUUGGGAGGAAGGGCAUUAACCUAAUACGUUAGUGUUUUGACGUUACCGACAGAAUAAGCACCGGCUAACUCUGUGCCAGCAGCCGCGGUAAUACAGAGGGUGCAAGCGUUAAUCGGAAUUACUGGGCGUAAAGCGCGCGUAGGUGGUUUGUUAAGUUGGAUGUGAAAUCCCCGGGCUCAACCUGGGAACUGCAUUCAAAACUGACUGACUAGAGUAUGGUAGAGGGUGGUGGAAUUUCCUGUGUAGCGGUGAAAUGCGUAGAUAUAGGAAGGAACACCAGUGGCGAAGGCGACCACCUGGACUAAUACUGACACUGAGGUGCGAAAGCGUGGGGAGCAAACUAGGAUUAGAUACCCGUGGUAGUCCACGCCGUAGGACUGAUGUUCAUAAAGGGGGAGGGC
rnacentral:rRNA from 1 species